AGAAACUUAGGUUAAAACAAACCAAGAGCCUUCAAAGCUCAAAACAUGAACUAAUAAUCAUAGUUUCU
rnacentral:tRNA from 1 species